rnacentral:RNase_P_RNA from 1 species
CGGCUCGUAUCCCGAGUCGAGGAAAGUCCGGACUUCACAGAGCAGGGUGAUUGCUAACGGCAAUCCGAGGUGACUCGCGGGAAAGUGCCACAGAAAACAGACCGCCACCCUCGCGGUGGUAAGGGUGAAACGGUGCGGUAAGAGCGCACCAGCACCCCGGGUGACCGGGGUGGCUCGGCAAACCCCACCCGAAGCAAGGCCAAGAAGGCCGUGCCGCCGGCACGGCCGCGCAGGCGUCCGAGGGUUGCUCGCCCGAGCCUGCGGGUAGGCCGCUC